AUUCUACUCCCUCCAUUCCAUAAUACAUGCCUUCUAUUUGUCAAAAUAUAGAUGUAUCUAGACAUGUUUUAGUAUAUAGGUACAUCCACUUUUGGACAAAUGGAAGUCAAGUAUUUUGGAACGGAGGGAGUACACA
rnacentral:pre_miRNA from 1 species